CUGCCCUCCGUGUCUUCAGCCACUUUCCUUUGGCUCGAACAUUCCCAUAGCUGCCUUGAUGGAACACUACCCAGCAGUUUCCCACUCUGAUUCUUCCCUACUUAAGGACCCUUGAAAGAGCAGAAGAGAGAAUGACCCACAGCCAGAGAGUAUAUGAACCUCUGAGUCAGCUAACCCAGCAACAGUUAUGCCUUCUAGAGAGGGAGUCCACACGGCUGACACUGUGCCAGCUCAGGUUCUUAUCAGCUAUCACUCAGGUUAUUGCAGUUGAAUCCUACCUGGACCUGCUGCCUCCCCAUCAUUCCUUUCCCCUCUCCUUCUUCUACACUAUGCCCAGGGUUGUCUUUCUUUCUUCUUUUUUUUUUGUUUUUUUGUUUUUUGUUUGUUUGUU
rnacentral:lncRNA from 1 species